rnacentral:lncRNA from 1 species
ACUAAACAAACAGACCUUAAGAGUUAGGGGUUGAAUGCAGCGUGAAGCAACAUACCCUCCACGUGUUUGAACUUUGAACCUGCCCUUUAUAAAUUCCAAAUUCCCACACCUCACCAAACAUCCUUCAUAAUCCAUUUUUCCUAUUUUUUGUUGCUUGUUUGUAUACUUGUCUGAUUUAGAAAUGCUAUGGCGCCCAAGCAAAGCUACUUCUUCCCACUUUCCGAUUUCAUGAAAGCAAAAAUAAUUAAAAAAUUAUAAUAAAGUAAAAAAUAAAAUCAAAAUUAUUAAAUUAUUUUCUAUAUACUACUUCAAACUUAUUUUUAUUUUU